GGGAGUCUACACACAGAUACAAAGGUCGUUUGUUUUUGGCUGUAAAAAUGUAUCUGUAAAAGUUGCCUUGGAAAUUUCGAAAUUAUUUGUUAAAUUCCUAUACUUAAAUGAACAUAUGGCUACAGAAUGCAGUGGUAAUUCUGGGAUGGGGAAGGGCAGCUGGACAUUACCUGUUUUUCAUCAGUCGGAGUUCCCUCUUACGUGAUGCUUCCUCAGUCAGCUGCUGAGGGCUUGGCAGAGAGCCGGGUGAGCCAUCCAUUGCCUGGGAAAGACCAGAUGCAGGAGAGGAAACCUGAUACCCAGACAUACCUCCAGUGGUGGCUGCAAAAACACACCAACACAUAAGUUAACAGAGGAACAGUUCCAAAUAUUUUCAAAGACAUAAUUUUACAUAACAUUGGCUGCAUAUUUUGUGUUUCCAUUACAGAUAAAAAUGAUUUUUCUGCCCGCCCAACCAGGUCAGCAGUUCAGAUUUUGUUAACACAAAAAUAUUUUAAUAUUUAUAAUUUUCAAUAAAUUGUACAGUAACUUUUCUUUACAAAAGGAUAAAACUAUUUAACAAACUAGCACAAAACUCUCUCACAAUGAUCCCAGGUCAUCAUUUUUGUAAUCCCCAAACCUACAAUAUUUAAUCAGUGAGAGGAAGUGUGAUAUUGCAGUUAAUGUUAAGGCUGUUUAGCGAGUUAUAGUCAAAUAGUGCCAAUAUAUUAAGUAAGUAAGGAUAAAAAGAAAGGAAAAGAAAAGA